AAAAUUUUUUUUAAUUUUUAGACCUAAUAAGAUAUUAAUUCUCAUUCAAUUUAAAUAUUUUUUAAGUUUCCGCAAGAAUGGCUCGAAUGCCAAAACAAUUUUUGCACAAAAAUCUUAGUUUUAUGCCUUCAUUAUCUAUGCCAAUUAAGACUCUCUCGUGCACUCUUAAAGACCGAGAUCCUCUCUUAAAAAAGUGAUGGGCUUUGUUGUGAAGCAUUUAAUUGAGAAUCGGUCGCCUGGUACAAGAAUUAAGGAUCGCGAAUCAGAAAUACGGAUUUUAUUAUAUAACCUACAAACGCUUCAAACUGUUGGAGCUAAGCAGGCAGCAAAAUUUAAAUGUUAAUCAUGACAUCAUAAGGAGUGCACGAAGCGCACUUAAAUUUCCUAUAAUACACUUAAAAUUAAUGUGUAUUGCGCGGAGCUACGAGAAACGCCCAGGACGUGAAAACGGGAUAAGAAAAGAAGAGAAAAACAAGUCCUCUGUUUCAUUAUGAUUUUUAAUCACGUUACCAAAUGAAACACCCAGGACGAUGUUCGUCUAUGUUACCUCUUUGUAUUCAAAUAAACCCUGAGGCCCGACAUAAGAAGUACAGUGAAAAACAUUUUUUCCUCAAGGCAAAAACUAUUUCUUUCCCAGAUUCCCUUAAAAAUGUACAUCGUGAACCACGUGGGGUUAUAUUUCUGUGCAAGGUUAUGAUUUACAUCGGAUACAUACAUCUAUCUCAGUAAUUACGAAUUCUAAGGCUACAUGUUCGCGAUACACCUAAUUGAAGCUGUUUUGGAAAAAGAACACCCACGAGAGAAGCUUCCAAUUAGUCCGUCCUCAGACGCAACAAUGCCUAGACCCUGGACAAAUGAAGAUGAAGGAUCCCGGAUUACUGCACGCUGUAAUAUAGAUCAUUAAUUAAUCGUCUGAGAGCUUCAACGAUUCUUGAGACCAAUCUUAUGCAGAUUAAGACAGUAUAUUAGACAAAUUUUCGUUUAUUUAACAACACAGAAAUGAUAGCAAUUUGGAAUAACUGCUCGAAAGCGAAAAUAGGCCUUAGAUUUCUUAUACGAAAACAAGGCUGCUGUACUAUUCCACUGCAAUUGUAGUGAGCGAGCCGGUUGGAUAAAAAAGGUAAAUUGAAGACUAUUUAAAAGAAAAGGCAGCAAACCUAACAAAUUCGUUUGUCAUAAAUCUACGUAAGUUCGCUAAUGCUAUGGUUAAGCGAGCGAAAGUAAUAAAAAUGCGAAAUAACACCUGAAAUAAAGAAGAGCGUAUAAUCUUA